UAGGGAAUCUUUCACAAUGGGCGAAAGCCUGAUGGAGCAACGCCGCGUGCAGGAUGAAGGCCUUCGGUUGUAAACUGCUUUUAUAAGCGAGAAAUAUGAUGGUAACUUAUGAAUAAGGAUCGGCUAACUACGUGCC
rnacentral:rRNA from 1 species